CUUUUUUACCUUCUUGUACAUAUGUCGGUUACAGUGGUACAGGAGUCAUUGGCGAUAUUCUCGAUUGGAUUCAGGUCUGGACUUUGACUUGGCCAUUCUAACACCUGGAUACGUCUAUUUGUGAACCAUUCCAUUGUAGAUUUGGCUUUAUGUUUUGGAUCAUUGUCCUGUUGGACGAUAAAUCUCCGUUCCAGUCUCAGGUCUUUUGCAGACUCCAACAGAUUUUCUACCAGAAUGGUCCUGUAUUUGGCUCCAUCCAUCUUCCCAUCAAUUUUAGCCAUUUUCCCUGUCCCUGCUAAAGAAAAGCAGGCCCAAACCAUGAUGCUGCCACCACCAUGUUUGACAGUGGGGAUGGUGCGUUCAGGGUGAUGAGCUGUGUUGCUUUUACGCCAAACAUAUCGUUUUGCAUUGUGGCCAAAAAGUUCAAUUUUGGUUUCAUCUGACCAGAGCACCUUCUUCCACGUGUUUGGUGUCUUCCAGGUGGCUUGUGGCAAACUUUAAACAAUACUUUUUAUGGAUAUCUCUGAGAAAUGGCUUUCUUCUUGCCACUCUUCCAUAAAGGCCAGAUUUGUGCAGUGCACGACUGAUUGUUGUCCUAUGGACAGACUCUCCCACCUCAGCUGUCGUUAUCUGCAGUUCAUCCAGAGUGAUCAUGGGCCUCUUGGCUGCAUCUCUGAUCAGUCUUCUCCUUGUUUAAGAUGAAAGUUUGGAGGGACGGCCGGGUCUUGGUAGAUUUGCAGUGGUCUGAUACUCAUUCCAUUUCAAUAUAAUUGCUUGCACAGUGCUCCUUGAGAUGUUUAAAGCUUGGGAAAUCUUUUUGUAUCCAAAUCCGGCUUUAAACUUCUCCACAACAGUAUCUCGUACCUGCCUGGUGUGUUCCUUUGUCUUCAUGGUUCUCUCUGCGCUUUAAACAGAACCCUGAGACUAUCAAAGAGCAGGUGCAUUUAUACGGAGACUUGAUUACACACAGGUACAUUCUAUUUAUCAUCAGUCAUUUAGGACAACAUUGGAUUAUUCAAAGAUCCUCACUGAACUUCUGGAGUGAGUUUGCUGCACUGAAAGUAAAAGGGCUGAAUAAUAUUGCACGCCCCACUUUUCAGUUUUUUUAUUUGUUACAAAAGUUUGAAUUAUCCAAUUAUUUUGUUCAACUUUACAAUUGUGUCCCACUUGUUGAUUCUUGACAAAAAAUACAAUUUUAUAUCUUUAUGUUUAAAGCCUGAACUGUGGCGAAAUGUUGAAAGGUUUAAGAGGGCUGGGCACUGUAUUUGUUUGAAAGGAGGAUCUGCUAAAUAUUGAGGUCAUUUUACUGUUGCGGUGCCCAAAUUUAUUCACCUGCCUACUUUUUUUUAGGUAAUGAUUGCACACUUUCUGUAAAUCAUAUAAACUUCAUCUCACUUUUCAAAUAUCAUUGUUUUUGAAAUUGCUGUUCCGAACAACCAAUGAUUUAUAAAAGGAAAAUCUUGAAAA